AAGAAUAUAGCUUAGUUGGUCAAGUGCUUGCCUAGCAUGCAUAAAGCCUUAGGUUCGAUUCCUAGUACUGUAA
rfam:Mesocricetus auratus contig065250, whole genome shotgun sequence.